rnacentral:tRNA from 1 species
GUUUCUCUAGUAUAAUUAGUACAAUUGACUUCCAAUCAAUUAGCUCUGACGUAAACCAGAGAGAAAUA